rnacentral:lncRNA from 1 species
GAGGAACUGCACGUGGUGGAACUAACCUGCAGUUUCAAUUGGACUGGGAGAGAUAAAAGAGGAAGCAGGAAACGAAUGCAGAGGGCCAUAGCAGGGGUGCAGGCAAGAGAAGAGGGUGGCUGUGGUGGUGCAGAGAAGCGGGCAGUCAUGAUUUACUUCUGAUGAAGAGCCAGCAGGACCUGAGGACAGACCAGCUGCAAGCCGUGGGAAGGAAGAAGCAGCACUGUAACAUGUCCAUAAUGGCCCCAACGCCCAAGCUGGAAGGUUGUGGGUUUACAGGAAUGAGGGCAAGCAACACCUGGCCCGCCCAGGGCGGAAAACCGCUUAAAGGAAUUCUUAAGACACAAACAAAAGCAUGAGCGAUCUGUGUCUUAAGGGCAUGUUCCUGCUGCAAUUAAUUCAGCCCAUCCCUUCCUUUCCCAUAGGGGACUUUUAGUUAAUUUAAUAUCUAUAGAAAC